GUGAGGAAUCUUGCGCAAUGGGGGAAACCCUGACGCAGCAACGCCGCGUGGAGGAUGAAGGUCUUCGGAUUGUAAACUCCUGUCAGAGGGGACGAAUGCUUGCGGGCUAAUCACCGUAAGCUUGACGGUACCCUCAGAGGAAGCCACGGCUAACUCUGUGCCAGCAGCCGCGGUAAUACAGAGGUGGCGAGCGUUAUUCGGAAUUAUUGGGCGUAAAGGGCGCGUAGGCGGCUUGACAAGUCCCGGGUGAAAUCCCUCGGCUCAACCGAGGAACUGCCUUGGAAACUGUCUGGCUUGAGGCCGGGAGAGGGUAGUGGAAUUCCCAGUGUAGCGGUGAAAUGCGUAGAUACUGGGAGGAACACCGGUGGCGAAGGCGGCUACCUGGACCGGUUCUGACGCUGAGGCGCGAAAGCGUGGGUAGCAAACAGGAUUAGAAACCCUUGUAGUCC
rnacentral:rRNA from 1 species